UUUACGUGAGUCUUCACCUUCUUCAACUUUUAUUUCUUUCUCUCCCGACAAUGUUCCUUAAGAUCUUAAGUCGAAAAUAAGAGAUUCUGUUACGAGUUGAAGCUACAUGAAAGACGUGUUGCAGGACGUGAAGAGCUUCUGUUAGUGGAAUAGGAGAUUCUAUAUUUGAGUGGAAGGAAAAAUGAGCAAUGAAGACGAUGCAAGUUUCCAAUGCUACUACGGUGGGAAGUUUAUAGUAGAUAAUGGGAAUAAAGUUAGCAUGUUGGAGGAGGGAUUCUCAGCCUUGAAAGCAAACCACAAGCAUUAUUGACCAAUUUGAUGGAGUCGUUGAACGAGUCUCUUUGUCAGCAACGCAUUUGGUUUAAGUUUCCAUAUGAGGAGUAUACAGAGCUUAAGCUUAAGUCCCAGGAGAUUGAAAGUUUUUGUUAUAAUCUCAGGAGAACUUUUACGGUUAUGUAAUGGUGUUUUAGGUUCUGUUUGGUUAUGUAAUGGUGAAUGAUAAUGUCGUUGUCCUUUUAUGGUACUGAUAUUUAUUGUUUUUUUGGUACUGAUA